GCCGAGGUGGCGGAACGGCAGACGCGCUGCGUUCAGGGCGCAGUGUCCGCAAGGGCGUGCGGGUUCAAAUCCCGCCCUCGGCACCA
rnacentral:tRNA from 1 species